rnacentral:lncRNA from 1 species
GUUGGGCCCAACCACCGGCCCAAAAUGCUUAAGCUCAGUUAUUAUUAUUAUUAUCUAAGUCUCUAAUAUAUCUAAUUACAUCUCCAUUCCUAUCCGAUGUGGGAUUAUUGGGGUGUGACAGACUCCCCCCGUUUAGGGUUCCUAUUCGAUGUGGGAUUAUUGGGGUGUGACAGACUCCCCCCGUUAAGGGUUCCUAUCCGAUGUGGGAUUAUUAGGGUGUGACAGACUCCCCCCGUUAAGGCCCUAACGUCCUCGUCAAUCCAGUCACACACACAGUCCAAGAUCAUGAGGCGAUGUGAGACUCGUCUCGCUAGCCUUCUCAUCCAGACCCUGGCAUAGCCGGUCACCUUGUCAUUCAGACUCCGGCAUAGCCUAUCAUCUUGUCUUUCAGACUCUGGCUCAGUCGAGACUCGUCACACAUUUCCGACUGGUGAACUGGCUUUGAACCAAAUGUAACGAUCCAGCCCACUGUAAUGGUGGUAAGAGAAAGGCGAACCAGGGGAAAGGAAGAGUGAGAAAAUGGAGGUAAAAAUGGUGAAUACGCAAACCGCGGUAGUUAGAUAUUAUUGAGUCAAGCAGGUGGAGGAGGUUAGGUGAUGGAGAAGCGGGCUACCAGGUACCGGGUUCGGGU